UUCAAAAUUUAGUUCUGCACGGCCAUGCAGAUCAAAAAAGAGGAAAUUUUCCGGUAAUCAAUUUACUGUAGAAGAAGAAACCAGUUUCACUAGUGCAUCUGCAGCAAAAUUAAAACAUUCGCAGGAUGAGGAAGUUAUAGUCAAUAACAAUUACGGUUAUUGUAUUUUAGAAUUUUUUUCUGUUUUUACCACGCUUUCGACGUUGAUCCUGUGUUCAACAUGAAUCGCCGAUUAAAAAUAUAUCACCAGGAGGGUUGGAAUAAUGCACGCCAGGACACCCUCUUUUUUUUUGACCCCCCCCCCCCCCACUUU